GCACAACGCGAAGAACCUUACCACCUUUUGACAUGCCCGGACCACCAGAGAGAUCUGGCUUUCCCUUCGGGGACUGGGACACAGGUGCUGCAUGGCUGUCGUCAGCUCGUGUCGUGAGAUGUUGGGUUAAGUCCCGCAACGAGCGCAACCCUCGCUGUUAGUUGCCACCAUUCAGUUGGGAACUCUAAUGGGACUGCCGGUGCUAAGCCGGAGGAAGGUGGGGAUGACGUCAAGUCCUCAUGGCCCUUACAGGGUGGGCUACACACGUGCUACAAUGGCGACUACAGAGGGUUAAUCCUUAAAAGUCGUCUCAGUUCGGAUUGUCCUCUGCAACUCGAGGGCAUGAAGUUGGAAUCGCUAGUAAUCGCGGAUCAGCAUGCCGCGGUGAAUACGUUCCC
rnacentral:rRNA from 1 species